rnacentral:rRNA from 1 species
GUAGAUCGUGCUCUUAUGAUUGAAGGGAAGCAGCAGCAAAUUGAGAAUCGCAAGAGGAAGUAUGGACAAGGAAAGUACAAUUCAGGAGCUCAGCAGAAGCCAUGUUUUACCCCUAGACCGGGAGGACAUUUUCAGCAUACCCAUGGGGGAGGUAGCUCGCACAAUCACAAUGGCACUAAGAAUGGUAAUGGCAAUGGAGGAAGCAACGGCCAGAACCGCACCAACCCAUCAACCCCAGCCAAGAAGGACUUGAGCCAAGUCACUUGCUAUAAGUGUUCGAAGCCAGGACAUUAUGCCAAUGAAUGUCCUAAAGGCCAAAAUGGCAAUGGAAGUUCUGGGAAGAAGCCGAACCCU